GAAAAUCCGUCGACUUUGUAAAUCGUGAGGGUUCAAGUCCCUCUAUCCCC
rnacentral:tRNA from 2 species